UGGCAAUGAUGUUUUAGAAUUUCUUCACCUGAUCUAAACUGAAGAGUAUAGUUUAGCUGAGCUGU